rnacentral:lncRNA from 1 species
GCUGGUAAUGAAUUUUUUAAAGGCAAAAUAGGGACAUCGCUCGUGUUUUGAACCUGCAGCGACCGCAGGGCGCAUUUGUGCCAUCCGACGGCCACAGCACCUGACAGCCUCCCCUCACUCAUUUGCUCUCCUUUCUCCUCUCUCUCUCUCUAUCUCUCUCUUCUCGCAUCUUGCAGAGGGCCGCCGAGGCCUCAGGUGCUGCCUCCUCUCACUCAUUUUCUCUCCUUUCUCCUCUCUCUCUAUCUUUCUCUUCUCGCAUCUCGUAGAGGACCGCUGAGACCUCCGAUUGCCGAGCUCCGGAGGCCUCGACGGCCCUCUGACAGCCUCAACAGGCCACCGCCGGUCUUUCCCUCUUCUUUCCUCCCCUCCUCUCUCUCUCCUCCUCUUUUUCCUUCUUCCGCACUCCGUUUUCACCGGCGUUCCAAAUCAAAUGCCCAAACUACACUAGUUAGCUGCCGGUAUGGUUUGACAUGCCCAGAACUGCCUACUUCCGGGCAGUUUGGUGAACCUUGCUUGCAACUAAUAUAACCAAAUAAGCCUGAUCUAAUUAAUGACAAUAUGCGUAUUCUCU